rnacentral:rRNA from 1 species
UCUGGCAUAACCCCGGGAAACUGGGGAUAAUUCCGGAUAACGCACAUAUGCUGGAAUGCUUUAUGCGUAAAAUGGAUUCGUCUGCCCAAGGAUGGGUCUGCGGCCUAUCAGGUAGUAGUGGGUGUAAUGUACCUACUAGCCAACAACGGGUACGGGUUGUGAGAGCAAGAGCCCGGAGAUGGAUUCUGAGACAUGAAUCCAGGCCCUACGGGGCGCAGCAGGCGCGAAAACUUUACAAUGCGGGAAACCGUGAUAAGGGGACACCGAGUGCCAGCAUCAUAUGCUGGCUGUCCAGGUGUGUAAACUACACCUGUUAGCAAGGGCCGGGCAAGACCGGUGCCAGCCGCCGCGGUAACACCGGCGGCCCGAGUGGUGAUCGUGAUUAUUGGGUCUAAAGGGUCCGUANCCGGUUUGGUCAGUCCUCCGGGAAAUCUGAUAGCUUAACUAUUAGGCUUUCGGAGGAUACUGCCAGACUUGGAACCGGGAGAGGUAAGAGGUACUACAGGGGUAGGAGUGAAAUCUUGUAAUCCCUGUGGGACCACCUGUGGCGAAGGCGUCUUACCAGAACGGGUUCGACGGUGAGGGACGAAAGCUGGGGGCACGAACCGGAUUAGAUACCCGGGUAGUCCCAGCCGUAAACGAUGCUCGCUAGGUGUCAGGCAUGGCGCGACCGUGUCUGGUGCCGCAGGGAAGCCGUGAAGCGAGCCACCUGGGAAGUACGGCCGC